rnacentral:rRNA from 1 species
CAGGCCUAACACAUGCAAGUCGAACGAAGGCUUCGGCCUUAGUGGCGCACGGGUGCGUAACGCGUGGGAAUCUGCCCUUAGGUUCGGAAUAACAGUUAGAAAUGACUGCUAAUACCGGAUGAUGACGUAAGUCCAAAGAUUUAUCGCCGAGGGAUGAGCCCGCGUAGGAUUAGCUGGUUGGUGUGGUAAAGGCGCACCAAGGCGACGAUCCUUAGCUGGUCUGAGAGGAUGAUCAGCCACACUGGGACUGAGACACGGCCCAGACUCCUACGGGAGGCAGCAGUGGGGAAUAUUGGACAAUGGGCGCAAGCCUGAUCCAGCAAUGCCGCGUGAGUGAUGAAGGCCUUAGGGUUGUAAAGCUCUUUUACCCGGGAUGAUAAUGACAGUACCGGGAGAAUAAGCUCCGGCUAACUCCGUGCCAGCAGCCGCGGU